rnacentral:rRNA from 1 species
GGCGGCGUGCCUAACACAUGCAAGUCGAACGAGAAACUCCGGGCUUGCUCGGAGGAGUAAAGUGGCGCACGGGUGAGUAACGCGUGGGUAACCUGCCCCAGAAUCUGGGAUAACAUCGCGAAAGCGUUGCUAAUACCGGAUAUCGUCCCAGAAACUGUGGUUUUUGGGAUGAAAGAUGACCUCUCCGUGGAAGUUGUCGUUCAGGGAGGGGCCCGCGUACCAUUAGCUUGUUGGUAGGGUAAUGGCCUACCAAGGCUUCGAUGGUUAGCUGGUCUGAGAGGAUGAUCAGCCACACUGGAACUGAAACACGGUCCAGACUCCUAUGGGAGGCAGCAGUGAGGAAUUUUGCGCAAUGGGGGAAACCCUGACGCAGCAACGCCGUGUGAGUGAAGAAGGCCUUCGGGUCGUAAAGCUCUGUCAAGGGGGAAAAAACCCUUUCGAUCAAUAGUCAUUAAGGACUGAUGGUACCCCUAGAGGAAGCACCGGCUAACUCCGUGCCAGCAGCCGCGGUAAU